rnacentral:rRNA from 1 species
GAGAGUUGAUCAUGGCUCAGGAUGAACGCUAGCGGCAGGCUUAACACAUGCAAGGUCGAGGGGUAACGCGGUGUAGCAAUACACUGGCGACGACCGGCGCACGGGUGCGUAACGCGUAUGCAACCUACCUGGUAACAGGGGGGAUAACGGGAUGAAAAAUCCCACUAAUACCCCAUAUAGUUAGAGAUUCGCAUGUUUCUCUAACGAAAGCUUCGGUGUUACGGAUGGGCAUGCGUGACAUUAGCUAGUUGGCGGGGCAACGGCCCACCAAGGCGACGAUGUCUAGGGGAGCUGAGAGGCUUAUCCCCCACACUGGUACUGAGACACGGACCAGACUCCUACGGGAGCAGCAGUGAGGAAUAUUGGUCAAUGGACGGAAGUCUGAACCAGCCAUGCCGCGUGGAAGGAAGAAGGUCCUAUGGGUUGUAAAACUCCUUUUACGCCGGAGUAAUAAGAGCCUUGCGAGGCUCGAUGAGAGUACGGCGGGAAUAAGCAUCGGCUAACUCCGUGCCAGCAGCCGC